CACCAGGCCCGUGCUCCCAGAAGCUCUUGGAACGUGCAAAAGCAAGACUUGGAGGGAAGCUCAGGCAGGAGCUACUCUGUGCUUUCUGGGAAACCCAGAGAUGGCCAGAAGAUAGCCCGGGGAAAGACUACACAACAGUGACAAGAGUUAACACGUCUUUCUGGUUCCAAGGCUGGCACUCAACCCACUCGCACACAUGGAAAGAAUAAAAGGAUGAGGUGCUUUUUGGAGCUGAGUGAGUCUGUGCGGGAUAGAAAGCUGGAGAAGCUGGACUUGAAUCCAGCUGGAGCACCUUAUGUGGCUGGAAGUUCCAGGACUGCGGGCCAGCAAGGUUCUGACAUUAAACUCUGGGAACUGAACAGGGACAGUCCAUGAUUGCCCAAUUGAAAGCCUACGACUGCCCAAGGAUGGAGUGAUGACUGGAUGUUGAGGUGCGAGUAAUCUCUGAAUCAACCGUCUGAGUACAAUAAGAUCAUUGAUUGUGAGACCAGAGACCAAACUCCGAGAAUUGCCACAUGACAGAAUCACAGGACCAGGAGGGAGCUUAGAGCUCCCCGUCAAGUCAUCCUCAGGGCCGAAAAAACGAAUGGCUCUUUUACUACAUCCGGUCAGGUGGGCAGGUUGGCUUUUACAUGAAGGCCUACACAAGGGAACAAGAUAAGCACUUAAUAAA